UACGAAGGGGGGCUAGCGUUGCUCGGAAUCACUGGGCGUAAAGCGCACGUAGGCGGCUUUCUAAGUCAGGGGUGAAAUCCUGGAGCUCAACUCCAGAACUGCCUUUGAUACUGGAGAGCUCGAGUCCGGAAGAGGUGAGUGGAACUCCGAGUGUAGAGGUGAAAUUCGUAGAUAUUCGGAAGAACACCAGUGGCGAAGGCGACACACUGGCCCGUUACUGACGCUGAGGCGCGAAAGCGUGGGGAG
rnacentral:rRNA from 1 species